UAGCAUAUCAAUAAGCGGAGGAAAAGAAACCAACCGGGAUUGCCUCAGUAACGGCGAGUGAAGCGGCAAAAGCUCAAAUUUGAAAUCUGGCUCCUUCGGGGUCCGAGUUGUAAUUUGCAGAGGAUGCUUCGGUUGCGGCCCCCAUCUAAGUACCCUGGAACGGGUCGUCAUAGAGGGUGAGAAUCCCGUAUGGGAUGGGGUGUCCGCGUCCGUGUGAAGCUCCUUCGACGAGUCGAGUUGUUUGGGAAUGCAGCUCUAAAUGGGUGGUAAAUUUCAUCUAAAGCUAAAUACUGGCCGGAGACCGAUAGCGCACAAGUAGAGUGAUCGAAAGAUGAAAAGCACUUUGAAAAGAGAGUUAAACAGCACGUGAAAUUGUUGAAAGGGAAGCGCUUGCGAUCAGACUCGCCUACGGGGUUCAGCCGGCUUUCGGGCCGGUGUACUUCCCCGUGGGCGGGCCAGCGUCGGUUUGGGCGGCCGGUCAAAGGCCCCUGGAAUGUAGCGCCUCUCGGGGCGCCUUAUAGCCAGGGGUGCAAUGCGGCCAGCCUGGACCGAGGAACGCGCUUCGGCACGGACGCUGGCAUAAUGGUCGUAAGCGACCCGUCUUGAAACACGGACCAAGGAGUCUAACAUCUACGCGAGUGUUCGGGUGUCAAACCCGUGCGCGGAGUGAAAGCGAACGGAGGUGGGAGCCCCCUCGCGGGGCGCACCAUCGACCGAUCCUGAUGUCUUCGGAUGGAUUUGAGUAAGAGCGUAAAUGUGGGGACCCGAAAGAUGGUGAACUAUGCCUGAAUAGGGCGAAGCCAGAGGAAACUCUGGUGGAGGCUCGCAGCGGUUCUGACGUGCAAAUCGAUCGUCGAAUUUGGGUAUAGGGGCGAAAGACUAAUCGAACCAUCUGGUAGCUGGUUCCUG
rnacentral:rRNA from 1 species